rnacentral:lncRNA from 1 species
CCACCUGGCAUAUAACAGUACAAGAAUGUCAACCUAACACUCCCAAAAUAUGGAACCCCAUGAAUCACAGGCUAAUAAUUUAUAAAAAUCUUUAACUCCAGAAAUAUCUAUCAACAAGGAAAAUACAGAAGGGCUAUGCUAGUACUGAGAAUAGAAAUGCACUCUUCGGUCUACGGACGCGGAAGAUAUACCUCGAAGUCUCUAUGAAAGCGCCUCGCCUCAAGUGUGAUAAGACAGAAUGGAAGUACCUAGAUCUGCACAUGAAAAACAUGAGUAGAAAGGUCAUGAAUACACCAUAGCGGUACUUAGUAAGUGCCAAACCUAACCUCGGUCGGGUAGUGACGAGGAAAGUCAGGGCCCUACAGAGAUAGUAUAGAACAAGGCAGUAAAAAUUAAGUGCAACAGUAAGAAAUAACAUAGAAUAGAAAGAACAACAACAACUAUAACAAAGAAAAAAUAAUCAUGGAAAGGAGUACGGCUCAACACAAAGAUAUCAUCCGGGGAUCUCUCAGUAUCUCGAGGAUCUCUUAGUAUCCUCAAUAUGUGUGUCGGGGAUCUCUCAGUAUCCCGAUGAUCUCUUAGUAUCCUCAAAUGUAUACUGGGGAUCGCUCGGUAUCCCAAGGAUCUCUUAGUAUCCUCAAUGUGUGUUGGGGAUCUCUUGGUAUCCCGCACUAUAGUCCAAAUCGAUAUAUAUGUGCAUGGGAAUCUCCCAGGAUACCGUCUCGUAGUUCCAAAGUAAAAACGCAACAAAAACACGUAGAAUACUCAAUUAAAUUCAGUUUCACACCAAGGUAAAACAAAUAUUUCUAACCUAACAUGGUUCACAUAGUCAAAAUAAUGCAGUUUGAACAAAUAAAAACAAUUAAGGCAAUUAGACAUGAUUCUCUAAGCUAACAUCAGGAUUGAUUGCAAGUAAAAUAAAUAGGAAGGGAAGACACAAUUAAAGUUACUCAGUGAAAACAUGAUUUUCAACAAUUAGCACAAGUACGCACUUGUCACCUCAUGUACAAGGCAUUUCAAAUAUCAGCAAUACCAAAUCCUAAGGGGAGUUCCUCCGCACAAGGUUAGGCAAGCCACUUACCUUGAACCGGCUCAAAAUCAACUCGAAACCACAUUCUUGCCACAAGUACUUGACUCCAAAUGACCCAAAUAUAUUCAAUUCAAUUGCAUAAUGUAAAUAACACUUCAAGUAAUUUAUUUUACAAAUACAUUCUAAGCUAAUAUGCGAAAUUAGGUAAAAUAACCAAAACGCCCUCGGACCCAUGUCUCGUAAUCGGGUAAAAUUUACGUUUCAGAAUCCUCAUACUCUUACAAGUCUAACCAUAUCAAAAUUAUCCAAAUCCAAUGUCUAAUUCCCAAGCAAAACUUGAAAUUUAGGUCUAAGAACUUUCUCCAAAUUUCCCCAAUUUCUCACCCCAAAUCCAAAAUUAGAUGGUGAAUUCAUGUUUAGAUUAAUGGGUUAUAAGCAAAAAGUAGUUAAGAAUCAUUACCCGCAAACUUUCUCCGAAAAUCUUCCCAAAAUUCGUGUCCCACCGAGCUCCCCAAUUCAAUUUUGUGAUAUGAACUCAAAACCCUCGAUUUUGAAAUUUAAGUUCUGCCCAGACGUGUUCUUAUUCGCAAAUGUGAGACUACUAUUGCGAACGCAAUACACAAAAAUCCUACUGUCCAACCUCCUCUUUCGCGAACGUGAGGGUCCACUCGCUAACGCGUAGCUUCAACUCCAAGACCUUCGCGAACGCGACUCAAUACUCGCAAACACGUAGAGAAAUUCCAUGGGGUCCCCAACUGCUCCACCUUUCCUCUUCGCGAAUGCGCUCCGCUUCUCGCGUUCGCGAUACUUCCCCUGGCCAGCCUUCGUGAACGCAAUCUCCCCUUCGCGAACGCGAAGGCCAAAAUUCUGCAACAUAAAAACUAGCAAAUCUAUUGCACACCUAAGUCCAAAAAAUGACCCGUUGAGCAUCCGAAAUACACCCGAGGCCUCUAGGACCUCAACCAAACAUGCCAACCAAUCCUAAAACAUCAAUCAAACUUGUUCUAAUCUUUGGAACGCUAAAAACAACACCAAAAUACCAAUUUAACAUCGGAUUCAAGCCCAAGAACUCCAAAAAUUCUCGAAUUACUCUUUCGAUCAAAAAGUCUAUCAAACCUCGUCCGAAUGACCUGAAAUUCUGCAAGCACGCCACAUUCAACACUAAAGAGCUACUCCAACUUCCAGAAUUCCAUUCUGACCCCGAUAUCAAAAUCUCACUAUCGAACCGGAAACUUUAAAAAUUCAAAUUUCGGCAAUUCAAGCCUAAAUAAACUACGGACCUAUAAAACACAAUCCGAACACGCCCCUAAGCCCGAAAUCACCCAACAGAGCUAAUAAAACCGACAUAAUUCCAUUCCGAGGCCGUUUUCACACUACUCCGACUACGGUCCAAAUUCUAAAGCUUAAGCUCUCAUUUAGGGACUAAGUGUCCCAAAACACUCCGAAACUCAAAACCAAACAUCCUGGUGAAUCAAAAUAGCAGAACCAAACAUGGGAAAGUAGUUAAUAGGGGAUCAGGGCGUAAAUUCUUAAAAUGACCGGCCGGGUCGUUACAUCCUCCUACACUUAAACAUUUAUCCAUCGUCGAAUGAGCAUAGAGACAUACCUGAAUUAGUGAAUAAAUGAGGGUAACGGUUGUGCAUAUCCUGCUCGGUCUCUCAGGUCGCCUCCUCGAUCGACUGACCCCUCCACUGAACCUUUACUGAUGCAAUAUUCUUUGACCUCAGCUUUCGAACUUGCCUGUCCAGUAUUGCCACUGGCUCCUCAACAUAAUAUAGAUCCUUGUCCAACUGAACUGAGCUGAAAUCUAACACGUGCGACAAAUCACCGUGAUACCUCUGGAGAAUCGAAACAUGAAAUACCGGAUGAAUUCCUGCCAAGCUGGGAGGUAAGGCAAGCUCAUAAGCAACCUCCCCAACAUGCCACAAUAUCUCAAAAGGACCAAUAAACCUUGGACUCAACUUCCCUUUCUUCCCGAAUCUCAAAACGCCCUUCAUAGGCAAAACCCGAAGUUGAACCCGCUCUCCAACCAUAUAGGAAAACAUCACGAACCUUCCAGUCCACGUAACUCUUCUGUCUAGACUGGGCUGUACAGAGCCUAUCCUGAAUCACCUUAACCUUUUCCAAAGCAUCCUGAGCUAAGUUUGUGCCCAAUAAUCUAGCCUCACCCGGCUCAAACCGACCCACCGGGGAUCUAUAUCGCCUACCAUAUAAAGCCUCAUACGGUGCCAUCUAAAUGCUGGACUGAUAGUUGUUGUUGUAGGCAAACACCGCCAAUGGCAAGAACUGAUCCCAAGACCCUUCAAACUCAAUCACACACGCAUAGAGAAUAUCCUCACGAAUCUGAAUAGUGCGCUCAGACUGUCCGUCCGUUUGAGGGUGAAAUGUUGUACUCUACUCCACCCGAGUACCCAACCCAUGUUGUACGACCCUCCAAAAUUGUGAUGUGAACUGAGUACCUCUAUCUGAAAUGAUGGAAACUGGAAUACCACGUAGACGAAAAAUCUUCCAGUUAUAAAUCUCCGCCAAACGCUCCAAAGAAUAGGUCGUAAACACAGUAAUGAAAUAUGCGGACUUGGUCAGCCGAUCCAAAAUCACCCAAAUGGCGUCGAACUUCCUCAAAGUCCGUGGGAGCCCAACUACAAAGUCCAUAGUGAUUCGCUCCCACUUCCAUUUCGGAAUCUCUAUCUGCUGAAGCAACCCACCCGGUCUCUGGUACUCAUACUUCACCUGCUGAAAAUUGAGGCAUCUAGCUACAAACCCAACUAUAUCUUUCUUCAUCCGCCUCCACCAAUAGUGUUGUCUCAAAUCCUGGUACAUCUUUACGGUACCCGGAUGAAUGGAAUACCGCGAACUAUGGGAUUUCUCUAGAAUCAACUCCCGAAGCCCAUCCACAUUGGGUACAUAAAUCCGACCCUGCAUCCUCAAUACCCCAUCAUCUCCAAUAGUCACAUCUCUAGCAUCACCGUGCUGAACCUUGUCCUUGAGGACAAGAAAAUGGGGGUCAUCCAACUGACGUUCCCUGACACGAUCAAAUAAGGAAGACCAAUAAACCAUGCAGGCUAGAACCCAAUUGGGAUCCGAAAGAUCCAAUCUCACAAACUGGUUGGCUAAGGCUUGAACAUCCAUCACCAUGGGCCUCUCCACCGCUGGUAAAUAAGCCAAACUCCCCAAACUCUCUGCCCAACGACUCAAGGCAUCAACCACCACAUUGUCCUUGUCCGGGUGAUACCAAUUAGUGAUAUCAUAUUCCUUCAUCAACUCUAACCACCUCCUCUGGUGCAGAUUAGGAUCCUUUUGCUUGAACAGGUGCUGCAAGAUCCAAGGAUCAAUAUAAAUCUCACAAGGAACACCACACAAAUAAUGACGCCAGAUCUUCAAGGAAUGAACAAUAGCAGCUAACCCGAGAUCAUGGACAAGAUAAUUCUUCUCACAUACCUUCAACUGUCUGGAUGCGUAGGCUAUUAGCCUACCGUCCUGCAUCAAUACCGUUCCAAGGCCAAUCCUCGAGGCAUCACAAUAGACAGUGUAAGAGCCCAAACCUGUAGGCAAUAUCAAAAUUAGGGCUGUAGUCAAAGAUUUCUUGAGCUUCUAAAAGCUUGCCUCACACUGUUCCGUCCACUAGAACGGAGCACCCUUCCGGGUCAGCCUGGUCAAAGGGGCUGCAAUCGAUGAAAACCCCUCAACAAAAUGACAGUACCAACCCGCCAAACCAAGAAAACUGCGGAUCUCGGUAGCUGAGGAUGGUCUGGGCCAAAUAUGCACUGCUUCCACUUUAUUUGAAUCCACAUGAAUACCAUCACUCGAUACAAUAUGGCCUAAGAAUGCCACGGAAUCCAACCAAAACUCACAUUUCGAGAACUUUGCAUAUAACUUCUUUUCCCUUAAAGUCUGAAGCACAGUCCUCAGGUGCUGCUCAUGAUCUUCCUGACUCCGGGAAUACACCAAAAUAUCAUCAAUAAAAACAAUGACGAACGAGUCAAGAUAAGGCCGAAACACACUGUGCAUCAAAUGCAUAAAGGUUGCUGGGGCAUUGGUCAGCCCAAAUGACAUAACAAGGAACUCAUAAUGACCAUACCGAGUCUUGAAAGCAGUCUUUAGGAUAUCUGGCUCCCGAAUAUUCAACUGAUGGUAACCUAAGAGCAAGUAAAUCUUAGAAAACACUCACACGCCCUGAAGCUGGCCAAACAAAUCAUCAAUACAGGGCAAAGGAUAAUGGUUCUUCACUGUAACUUUGUUCAACUGGCGAUAAUCAAUGCACAUAUGCAUAGAACCAUCCUUCUUAUUUACAAAUAAGACAGGAGCACCCCAAGGUGAUACACUAGGCCGAAUAAAACCCUUAUCAAGCAAUUCCUAUAACUGAUCCUUCAACUCCUUCAAUUCAGGAGGGGCCAUACGAUACGGAGGAAUAGAAAUGGGCUGAGUGCCUGGCAAUAGAUUAAUGCCAAUAUCAAUAUCUCUAUUGGGCGACAUGCCCGGAAGGUUAGAUGGAAACACAACAGGAAAAUCAUGUACUACUAGAACUGAAUCAACUGUAGGGGUAUCAAUACUGAAAUCUAUCACAUAAUCUAGAUACGCAUCACACCCCUUCUCAACCAUACACUGAGCCUUAAGGAAUGAAAUAACUCUACUGGAAGUAUGAUCUAAGGUACCUCUCCACUCUACGGACAGUAUACCUAGCGAAACCAACGUUAAAGUUUUGGCUGACAAUCAAUAAUAGCAUAAUGGGGCGACAACCAGUCCAUGCCCAUGAUAAUAUCAAAAUCUACCAUGUUGAGCAUAACAAAUCGGCUCUGGUCUCGAAACUAGUAAGAGCAACCAUACAAGACCGAUAAACGUGGUCCACAAAAAGAGAAUCUCCCAUAGGAGUAAAAACAUAAAUAGGAGAACUCAAAGAAUCUCGAGAUACACCUAAAUACAGAGCAAAAUAAGAAGACACAUAAGAAUAAGUGGAGCAUGGAUCGAAUAAAACCGAUGUAUCUCUAUGAUAAACCAAGACAAUACCUGUGAUGACAGAAUUAGAGGCGAUAGCUUCGGUACGGGCACGAAAGGCAUAAUAUCUGGCCUGGCCUCCCCCUCUAGGGAAACCUCUACCUCCCCGACCUCCACCUCUAGCUGGAUGAGCAGGUGGGAUAGCAGUUGGAGUUGUAAACCAUAGCCUGAGAAAUCUAUAGAGGUGCACUCCUCCCAAGUCUAGGGAAAUCCCUCACCACAUGGCGUGUGUCACCACACUCAAAACAAGCUCUGGGAGGACGUGGAGGCUAUGACUGGCUCGGACUAGGUCUGUUAGACUGUCCUCUGAAAGCACCUUGCGCAGGAGGCACACUAGAUACUGGCGGUGCAUAAUAAGGCUCCUAAGGCGUAGAAGGAGUUGGAAUAGAGAAGAGCUUAAUGAAUAGGGCGUCUCAUAUAACCCCUACCAUGAUGAACUGCAGCUGGCACACGAGUACCAGAAUAAUAGCCUGACUCUCGAGACCUCUUGGCCUCCCUCUCCUCCCUCUCCCUAGCAUGCAUACCCUCUAUCCAUCUAGGAAUGCUCACCACCUGUUGAUAAGAAAUAUCCAUCUCCAACUCACGAGCCAUAAUAGACUUGAUGCUGGGAAAAAGCCCCUCAAUAAAUCGGCGAACCCUCUCACGACAGUAAAAACCAAGGGUGGAGCAUGUCUAGCCAAGCUAGUGUAACAUAAAGCAUAAUCCGAAACAAUCAUAGUACCCUGACACAAAUGCUCAAACUCUGUGCGCCAUGUGUCCUUGAGUCUCUGUGGAACAAACUCCCUCUAGAACAUAUCUGAAAACUGAGUCCAAGUUAGUGAAGCUGCUUCAUCCAAACUGUCUAACUCAUAGGUACGCCACCACUCAUAGGCGGCUCCUCAAAGCUGGAAGGCAGUGAAAGAAACCCCACUCGAUCCUGAUAUACCCAUAGUGUGGGGGAUACGGUGACACUCCUCCAGAAAUCCCAAGGCAUUGUCUGAUGCUAACCUACUAAAUACAGAAGGAUCAUACUUCUUAAACCUCUCAAGCCUCCGCUGCUCAUCCUUUAAAGCCGAUGCCCUACCCUCGAGCUGAUCUGGGAUUGUAGGCGGUACAAAAAUAAUCUAUGAGACCUGAUCAACAUGCACUCGCUCCUCAAGAGUGUAGACGGUGGGAGUCUAUGCUCCUCCCCCGACCUGAGAUGUGGCGGCAGCAAGGGGAAGCAACCCUUCCUGAGCCAGAGUGGUGUACAUGCUCAUGAACUACGCAAGAGUCUCCUGAAGAGCUGAAGUGGUAGUAGCAGUAGGCGUAUCAGGUGCCAGGACUCCAGCUGGAACUGCUGAUGGUGCCUCAGUGAAAGCUUGCGCAGGUGCUCUGGCUGCACCACGUGCAUGUCCUUGGCCUCUACCCUAGCCCCAACCUCUGUCGGCUCCAGAAGGGGGCGUGGGUGCCUGAUCAUCUCUGGUAGCACGUGUCCUCACCAUCUAUGAGACAAUAGAAGACAGAAGUUUAGAAUUGUGAUGUCAAAAUUCACACGACAAGGGAAUCAUAUUAAGUGGAAUUUUCCUAACAGUUACAUAGCCUUUCGUAGAUAAGUAUAGAUGUCUCAGUACUGAUCCGCGAGACUCUAAUAAACUGGCUUGUGAUACAUGAAUCCUAUGAACCUAGAGCUUUGAUACCAACUUGUCACGACCCCAGUUCACCCUCCCUGAACUAUCGUGACGGCACCUAGUCUCUACGACUAGGUAAGCCUAACAAAUGCAGAAAAGAAACAAUUUCGAAAAGAAAAUAAUUAAAAACCGAGCUAACAAAAUGAAAUAGUGUGUAAGUUGCCGCCUGGCAUAUAACAGUACAAGAAUUUCAACCUAACAUUCCCAAAAUCUGAAACCCCAUGAAUCACAAGCUAAGAAUUUACAUAAAAAGAUCUAACUCCAGAAAUAUCUAUAAACAAGGAAAAUACAGAAGGGCUAUGCUAGUACUGAGAAUAAAAAUGGACUCUUCGGUCUGCGAACGCGACAGAUAUACCUCGAAGUCUCUACGAAAGUGCCUCGCUUCAAGUGUGAUAAGACUGAGUGGAAGUACCUAUAUCUGCACAUGAAAAACAUGCGUAGAAAGGGCAUGAGUACACCACAGCGGUACUUGUCACACCUUCUUUUUACUACCCUCGGAAGCUUAGUAUAAGGGAGUUUUUUCCAAUUUAAGUGACAAUCAAAACGGGAUUAUUUAUUAAAUUCAGAGUCGCCACUUGGGAUUAUUUAUGGUGUCCCAAGUCACUAGUUAAAAUCCCAAAUCAAGGAAGUUGACUCUAUCCGGUUUGUGAAGGUGUUAGGCAUUCUCGGGUUCCGUGGUUUUAGCACUGUCGCUUUAAUCAUACUUGGCUUAAUCAAAUUGACUAGUUACUCAUUUUAGAACCUAUGUGCGUUUGCCUAUUUUAAUUAAGGAAUUAUCUUAAAAUAGGUCACGCGCACGUGUACCCAUUUGUUUUGCGCGUAAAAAAUCAUGUCACGCAAACGUGUCCACAAUUAAUAACGCUUUGUUAUUAUUAAGAAAGUUUGGUCGAAGUUAUGCAAAUGCAUACCUCGAUUUACUUUGGAACCUAUAAUUAUGCCACUCAGAUGUCAAAAAUAUAUACUACUACGAAUCUAUAUAGUCAAAAAGACAAAUAAAAGUAAAAUGAAGUACAUCACAUUUCAACUAAUCAAACCAAUUAUUAUCAGUUGUAAAUGUCGAGGUCAUGAGCUACUGAUAUCUUACUAUUUCAUUGCCAUGCUACUUUAAUUUUGCAGUGUUAGCUUGUCACCUUUCUUCUCCAAAUAGUAAAUUCUUAAACCACAAGUCAGAGAAAAAUGGAUCUCCCACAACACAUUCAAACCAGAUUUCACUCCUAAGCCACUUCAACAUUUCCAGCAGACAAUAAAAUAAUAAUCAUUUAUAGAACCCAACCAAAAAUAUGACUUGUAACUAUAAUAAGAAUAGAGAUGGACCUUAGGAAGAAUUUUACUUUUGAGCUUUACAGUAGGUGAAUCCAAAAGCAAAUCAGAAACCACGUACGGGACCUUGAGGAAACGGAAUUUCAUCGGACACCAAAGCUCGGACCUCAAUGGAAAAUGGUCACCUAACGUCACUGGUUGUUGAAACAACUUAGUAACUCCAAGUAAAUACCAGAGAAGAGAUAUCGGCCAAUUUUGUGUGCGGCCGAUUUUUGAAGGUUAGAGAUCAUAGGCAUGUUCUUUGUGUGCUAGGUUUGUAGGUGUUCAAAAAUUAGGGAAGGCGGCUGGGAGAUGCUCUUCGAGAUUUAGGUAAUGGAGAUCGGCUGAUCGUUUGGAGAGGAGGGGUCUAGGUUUUUCGGUGUUUGUUCGCUGCUCAAAGUGUGGAGAAGAUCGAGCUCAACAACCGAGGGGUCUAUUGUGUAUUACGGCUGUUGCUGCUCUGCAUUCAAAGAUAUAAGAUCCUCUAUUCAUGUGGGUUUUGCUGGAGAUGAAGAGAAGGCGGGGGGUAAGAUAAAGAAGAAGUUGUUUAGGGGAGGUGGUUCUCUUAUAAAACGACUGAUAUGUCCCUUAGUCUUUUAGGGUCUAUUUUUUUGUGUAUUU